CUGAUUCAGGCCCGGUUCUUCAUUUCUUGUGAGUUCACCCUGGAGCUCCCAGAGCUCGGAGCUCGAGUCGCUGACCCUCCUGAGGGUCGGAUCGGGGUGUUCGUAUAAACACUCCGAGCGGGGUUGAGAUUCCUCCUGCACGGGUUCGUGGACGAGCUUCCGGCGACUUAUCGCCUAGUCCCAGCGCAACUCGUUCCGAAUUCGUAGAGGAUGAUAGUUGGCUUCCUCGUCCCUAUGCCUUGCACAUAACCUACCCCCCUCAGUCAAGGUCUUUCGGAGUUGCUUUGUAUUGAAAGGCAACCCUGCAGACAAAGGAUGAUGGUACUUCUCCUUUCGGAGAGGCCGCUUGCUCUUUCGAGGUGCCCCUUCCUCCAUCCAUGGGUGGAAGCGUAGCAUUUUCUUUCUUUCCUCCGAGCAGUCGUGGAGGUUUGACCCGAUCUCGGGUUCGCCGCGGGUUGCCGUUAAUAACAAACUCCCCAAGUAGUCAUAGCUCAAGCAGGUGACCUUAGACACGCUGCUUGGCUUGGGAGAGACUCCGGCGCUCUCCGACUUGCUUAGUGAGGAGGACUUGUUGAAUGUUGGCUUGAGCUAGGCUCAUCCCGAGGGUAAGGGUACUGCAGUCAUUUUUCUUUCUUUCUCUUCCCCUUUUGUGUUGGAUUCUGACUACGUUCCGUUGUCAAAAAUUGCAAGGAUGAUGUUUGACCUUGAGACUCUAAUGGCCAAAUACCGCAAGACGGUGGCCGCUUCGGAUGGAGCUCGAUCCGAGCAAAAGUCGAAGAAAGCCUGAGCUGCCUCAGGUUCUGGCGCUGAGCAGCGCCAGCUCGGGAUCAUCAACGCUGAACCUGCUUGGCCUAAGCCUGAGCAGGUCCUACCGAUUAACGUCGAGCUGCCCCCACGGACCGUAGGAGGUGCAGUACAACAGGCGGUCGCGGCGCCUGAUGGAGCUCGGAGUGCCCAGAAGGUUGUUCGGUCGCUCCAAUCGGGUCCCGAGCCAGGAAGCGGCCUCGGGGUUCCGCCUUCUUGUGAGGUCCCGUCCUCUUUUG
rnacentral:lncRNA from 1 species